rnacentral:rRNA from 1 species
GUUGAACGCUGGCGGCGUGCCUAACACAUGCAAGUCGAGCGAAGAGGGGAGGCGUGAGUAUCACGUGGAUAACCUGCCUGAUGACUGGGAUAACUUAGGGAAAACGGAGCCAAUCCCGAAUCUUAUCGCUGGAGCCGCGAUGCAUUAGCUAGUUGGUCAGGUAACGGCUUACCAAGGCAACGAUGCAUAGCCGACCUGAGAGGGGGACCGUCCACACUGGAACGGAGACACGGUCCAGACUCCUACGGGAGGCAGCAGUGGGGAAUCUUCCGCAAUGGGCGAAAGCCUGACGGAGCAAUGCCGCGUGAGUGAAGAAGGGCUUCGGAUCGUAAAACUCUGUUAUUAGGGAAGCGGUACCUAAUCAGAAAGCCACGGCUAACUACGUGCCAGCAGCCGCGGUAAUAC